AGUUUGAUCCUGGCUCAAAACGAACGCUGGCGGGGUGGAUAAGACAUGCAAGUCGAACGGGGCAUCUGGUGUAACAAUACACCGGGUGUUCAGUGGCGUAGGGGUGCGUAACACGUGGGCAAUCUGCCGGGAAGUGGGGGAUAGCUCGCCGAAAGGCUAAUUAAUACCGCGUGGGGUUAGCGAAGGAAUCUUCGCGACACCAAAGCCGGGGACCUAGCAAUAGGCCUGGCGCUUCCUGAUGACCCCGCGGCCUAUCUUCUUGUUGGCGGGGUAACGGCCCACCAAGGCGAUGACGGGUAGCUGGUCUGAGAGGACCACCACCCACACUGGAACUGAGACACGGUCCACACACCUACGGGUGGCAGCAGUCAAUUUUUUUUCUCGGUGGGGGCAACCCUGAAGGAGCGACGCCGCGUGAAGGAUGAAGGUCUUCGGAUUGUAACCUCCUGUCAUUAAGGAACAGGGUGCGGGCGUUAACUGCGCGUGCAUUGAUAGUACCUGAAGAGGAAGGGACGGCUAUCUCUGUGCCAGCAGCCGCAGUAAUACAGAGGUCCCGAGCGUUGUUCGUAUUCAUUGGGCGUGAAGGGUGCGUAGGUGGCGGGGCAAGUCAGGUGUGACAUCGCGGGCGCUCCCCCCCGGAACUGUAUUUGAUACUGCCUUGCUGGAGUACUGGAGAGGAGACUGUAAUUUACGGUGUAGCAGUGAA
rnacentral:rRNA from 1 species